UACGUAGGUGGCAAGCGUUGUCCGGAUUUAUUGGGUUUAAAGGGUGCGUAGGCGGCUUGAUAAGUCAGUGGUGAAAGCCGAUCGCUUAACGAUCGAACUGCCAUUGAUACUGCCAGGCUUGAGUAUAGUUGAGGUAGGCGGAAUUGACAGUGUAGCGGUGAAAUGCAUAGAUAUUGUCAAGAACACCAAUUGCGAAGGCAGCUUACUAAAGUAUAACUGACGCUGAGGCACGAAAAGUGCGGGGAUCAAACAGG
rnacentral:rRNA from 1 species